GAUGAAGAACGUAGCGAAAUGCGAAAAGUAAUGUGAAUUGCAGAAUUCAGUGAAUCAUCGAAUCUUUGAACGCACAUUGCGCCCGCUGGUACUCCGGCGGGCACGCCUGUCCGAGCGUCAUUUCAACCAUCAAGCCCCAGGCUUGUGUUGGGGACCUGCGGCUGCCGCAGGCCCUGAAAACCAGUGGCGGGCUCGCUGUCACACCGGGCGUAGUAGAUUUUAUCUCGCUCAGGGCGUGCUGCGGGUUCCGGCCGUUAAAAAGCCUUUUUUACCCAAGGUUGACCUCGGAUCAGGUAGGAAGACCCGCUGAACUUAAGCAUAUCAAUAAGCGGAGGA
rnacentral:misc_RNA from 1 species